rnacentral:rRNA from 1 species
AUUGAACGCUGGCGGCAGGCCUAACACAUGCAAGUCGAGCGGGCGGCGGACGGGUGAGUAAUGUAUAGGGAUCUGCCUGAUGGAGGGGGAUAACUACUGGAAACGGUAGCUAAUACCGCAUACCAGCAGAUGAAACCAUAGGGGAUUAGCUUGUAGGUAAGGUAACGGCUUACCUAGGCGACGAUCCCUAGCUGGUCUGCGAGGAUGAUCCGCCACACUGGGACUGAGACACGGCCCAGACUCCUACGGGAGGCAGCAGUGGGGAAUAUUGCACAAUGGGCGAAAGCCUGAUGCAGCCACGCCGCGUGUAUGAAGAAGGUCUUCGGGUUGUAAAGCACUUUCAUUCUGGAGGCGUUACCGACCGAAGAAGCACCGGCUAACUCCGUGCCAGCCGCCGCGGUAAUAC